CAUGGGCAGACUCUGCUUCAGCCUCUGGAUGACGGCUCUUCGGCCACGACGCAGAGCGUCGCAGUUUCGAUGUCCUCAGAAUUUGUCACGAAUUAAAAAUACCAGCUAGGAAAGGACGGAAGUAGAUCGUAGAAUGAGUCUGCUUGUUGAACCUGCUAAGCCGACGACGUCUGGAGCACAAAGUUUGCAAAUGGAUGAAGAUCACACUAAAGAUGGAUGCAGUGGCCACCUUGGGCUUCUCAGAGCACAGAAGGAAUGGUUUAAUGCCCCUGGCUGAGUCCUGUAUUCCUACCUUGAGAAAAGUCUGUGGCCAUGAGCUCGCGGUUUUAACACUAGGGUGACUAGAUGGAGACUACUCUUCCAGGUCGUCCACACAGACAGGAGUUGGCGUGACAGUUCAGCAACUGUAUGACUGACAGCCCAAACUGGAUGACAUUCAGACACAAUGAAUGGAGCAGGUGUGCUGCAACUUGUGAGUUGGGACUGCUACAAGCUUCAAAGGUGGUCGAUAUCAAGUCAUCCAGGGAAAGGAUGACUAACAGUCAGAAGAUGGGCUCCCAUCAUAGCUAUACAUUUAAACAAAUCAGUCUCUGAAAACUGGCUCUUCAACAUUUUGAGGUAGCUUGAGCGUUAGAGUUGUUUCCUGUCUUGUUUGUGCAAAGCUUUUCCACAGCGGUUAUGUCUUGAACCCUUGAGAAAACAUAUGUGGGGAAAUAUUAAAUAAAAUGGUUGACAACAAAGA